AUUGAACGCCGGCGGAAUGCUUUACACAUGCAAGUCGAACGGCAGCACGGGGGCAACCCUGGUGGCGAGUGGCGAACGGGUGAGUAAUACAUCGGAACGUGCCCAGUCGAGGGGGAUAACGUAGCGAAAGUUACGCUAAUACCGCAUACGAUCUACGGAUGAAAGCGGGGGACCGUAAGGCCUCGCGCGAUUGGAGCGGCCGAUGUCAGAUUAGGUAGUUGGUGAGGUAAAGGCUCACCAAGCCGACGAUCUGUGGCUGGUCUGAGAGGACGACCAGCCACACUGAGACUGAGAAACGUCCCAGACUCCUACGGGAGGCAGCAGUGGGGAAUUUUGGACAAUGGGCGCAAGCCUGAUCCAGCCAUUCCGCGUGCAGGACGAAGGCCUUCGGGUUGUAAACUGCUUUUGUACGGAACGAAAAGGCUCUGGUUAAUACCUGGGGCUCAUGACGGUACCGUAAGAAUAAGCACCGGCUAACUACGUGCCAGCAGCCGCAGUAA
rnacentral:rRNA from 1 species